rnacentral:rRNA from 1 species
UAGGGAAUCUUCCGCAAUGGACGCAAGUCUGACGGAGCAACGCCGCGUGAGUGAAGAAGGUUUUCGGAUCGUAAAACUCUGUUGUUAGAGAAGAACAAGUGCUAGAGUAACUGUUAGCGCCUUGACGGUAUCUAACCAGAAAGCCACGGCUAACUACGUGCCAGCAGCCGCGGUAAUACGUAGGUGGCAAGCGUUGUCCGGAUUUAUUGGGCGUAAAGCGAGCGCAGGCGGUUCCUUAAGUCUGAUGUGAAAGCCCCCGGCUCAACCGGGGAGGGUCAUUGGAAACUGGGGAACUUGAGUGCAGAAGAGGAGAGUGGAAUUCCAUGUGUAGCGGUGAAAUGCGUAGAUAUAUGGAGGAACACCAGUGGCGAAGGCGACUCUCUGGUCUGUAACUGACGCUGAGGCUCGAAAGCGUGGGUAGCAAACAGGAUUAGAUACCCUGGUAGUCCACGCCGUAACGAUGAGUGCUAAGUGUUGGAGGGUUUCCGCCCUUCAGUGCUGCAGUUAACGCAUUAAGCACUCCGCCUGGGGAGUACGACCGCAAGGUUG